CCUUCUUACAAAGAAAGAUUUGUCUGUUGGGGUUCGGGCCCCACUUGAGAGCUCUGAGCUCUGCCAAACCAAACAGAAAAGAAAGAAUGAAGGAGGGACCUGGGUCUGGCAGCGCCGGCAUCUGCAGGGCGGGCCACUCUCCCUUCCGGGCGAGGACAUUCCAGAGGCACCUGAGUCCGAUGCUCUCAUCCCCUGGCCUCCCCUUCAGAUACCAUCCACCUUCUUCUGGACACAGAGAUUCUCCACUCUUCUCUUCGGCAUCCGAGGCGGGUUGGGGUGAGGGGGGCUUGGGGAUGCCAGGGUGUUAGGACCCCGGGUGGAACGGCCCCCUCAGACCCCAGACACCUGCAAGUGGCCUGGAGGUUCUGAGCUAGACACAUCCUCUGUCUUUCUGGACUAUCAUUCCUCCUGCAAAGAAAAGAACCCAGAGUCAGUCAUCCGACGUCGUCCUGGGUAGUGAGCCGGAGUUAUUCAUGCACCGAGCCUCGAGCCUCGGAAGGAGCAGCCCUGGUUUUCGUUUUCUGUGAGGGAGGGGGAAGCAACGCUUGAAAGGUUCAGCUUGCCCAGCGCGCUCAGACACACUUGACUUUGAGAACAGUGAACAUUCUACUACCUGAUAGAGGAGGAGGAAUGAUUAACCUGCAGAAUAAAACAUUGCGGUUAAUGGUUGUAGGGUCAAAGAUUUCUCAAGCUACAAUUCUUCAAUACUCUAAUGAGCAUUAUACAACUAACAAGAAGACACGCUUCGUUCAAAAAUCCUCGAAUUCCAACAGAAAAAGCCCUGUCCUCCAGAAGCAGCGGUGCUGACAGCAGCAAGCAUUGUUUCAGUUGAUGUGGCCAUUUCCCCGUCAGGAGGUAGGGUUUAUAUUCCCUCCUCUUAAAUGUGAAUGGGCCUGUGACCAUAGUUGAAGUGAUGUUAUGUGAUAUACAAGGCCAGGUCAUAGAAGGCAAUGCAUCUUCCACCUUGCCGGCUAGACCACCCACACUGGAGCUCUGUGCUGCCAUGUGUUUGUUUAAACUGAAUCCUGGCGUCCCAGAUUCCCUGAAGACUGUUCAGACUUUCCAAGAGCAAGUACAAGUCAGAGGCAUCUUCUUCUGAUGAUGGUAACAACACCACCUCCACCACAACCAACUCACUGUGCUUCCUGAGAAAGGGUCCUCUUCUAAGAGCCUGAUGUGUAUUGACUCACUGCCUCCUCACGAUAACCCUAUGAGGCACUGUGGUGGACAGACCCUAAAGGUGACCCCAGGAUCCCCAUCUUCUGUGUUCAUACCUUUGUGUAAUCACCCCACCCAUACCUUUGAAUGAGUGGUGGGUGGGACCUGGGACUUGCUUUUACUCACUAGAAUACAGCAGAGGGAACAUGAUAACAUGUGUGUGAUUAUAGUGCCUGGCUUGCUGGAGCCUCUCUCCCCCUGGCUGGUUUUGAGAAAGCAAGUGGCCUUUGGUCACCAGCCAACAAGAAAAUGAGUCCCUUGGUCCUACGACCACAAGGUCACACAUUUUGCUAACACCUUCGGUGAGCUUGGGAGUGGAUCCUCCCCCAGUCAAGUCUCAGAUGAGACCUCAGCCCAGCCAGACCCUUUGACUUCAGUCUUGCUGAGGACCUGGCUGAGCUGUGCCUGGAUUCCUGACCCAGGGAAACUGCAG